GACGAACGCUGGCGGCGUGCCUAAUACAUGCAAGUAGAACGCACAGUUUAUACUGUAGCUUGCUACACCAUAAACUGUGAGUUGCGAACGGGUGAGUAACGCGUAGGUAACCUGCCUGGUAGCGGGGGAUAACUAUUGGAAACGAUAGCUAAUACCGCAUAAUAUUGAUUAUUGCAUGAUAAUUGAUUGAAAGAUGCUAUUGCAUCACUACCAGAUGGACCUGCGUUGUAUUAGCUAGUAGGUGAGGUAACGGCUCACCUAGGCGACGAUACAUAGCCGACCUGAGAGGGUGAUCGGCCACACUGGGACUGAGACACGGCCCAGACUCCUACGGGAGGCAGCAGUAGGGAAUCUUCGGCAAUGGACGAAAGUCUGACCGAGCAACGCCGCGUGAGUGAAGAAGGUUUUCGGAUCGUAAAGCUCUGUUGUAAGAGAAGAACGGGUGUGAGAGUGGAAAGUUCACACUGUGACGGUAUCUUACCAGAAAGGGACGGCUAACUACGUG
rnacentral:rRNA from 1 species